rnacentral:misc_RNA from 1 species
UACGUAGGGUGCAAGCGUUACUCGGAAUCACUGGGCGUAAAGGGUGCGUAGGCGGCUCAUUAAGUUGGAUGUGAAAGCCCUCGGCUCAACCGAGGAACUGCGUCCAAAACUGGCGGGCUUGAGGAUGGUAGGGGACAGUGGAACUCCAGGUGGAGCGGUGAAAUGCGUAGAGAUCUGGAGGAACGCCGGUGGCGAAAGCGACUGUCUGGGCCAUUCCUGACGCUGAGGCACGAAAGCCAGGGGAGCAAACGGG